GACGAACGCUGGCGGCGUGCCUAAUACAUGUAAGUAGAACGCACAGUUUAUACCGUAGCUUGCUACACCAUAGACUGUGAGUUGCGAACGGGUGAGUAACGCGUAGGUAACCUGCCUGGUAGCGGGGGAUAACUAUUGGAAACGAUAGCUAAUACCGCAUAAUAUUAAUUAUUGCAUGAUAAUUAAUUGAAAGGUGCAAUUGCACCACUACCAGAUGGACCUGCGUUGUAUUAGCUAGUAGGUGAGGUAACGGCUCACCUAGGCGACGAUACAUAGCCGACCUGGGAGGGUGAUCGGCCACACUGGGACUGAGACACGGCCCAGACUCCUACGGGAGGCAGCAGUAGGGAAUCUUCGGCAAUGGACGAAAGUCUGACCGAGCAACGCCGCGUGAGUGAAGAAGGUUUUCGGAUCGGAAAGCUCUGUUGUAAGAGAAGAACGGGUGUGAGAGUGGAAAGUUCACACUGUGACGGUAUCUUACCAGAAAGGGACGGCUAACUACGUG
rnacentral:rRNA from 1 species